CAGUAGCCGCGGUAAUACGUAGGGUGCGAGCGUUAAUCGGAAUUACUGGGCGUAAAGCGUGCGCAGGCGGUUGUGUAAGACAGGUGUGAAAUCCCCGGGCUUAACCUGGGAACUGCGCUUGUGACUGCACAGCUAGAGUAUGGCAGAGGGGGGUGGAAUUCCACGUGUAGCAGUGAAAUGCGUAGAGAUGUGGAGGAACACCGGUGGCGAAGGCAGCCCCCUGGGCCAAUACUGACGCUCAUGCACGAAAGCGUGUGGAGCAAACAGGAUUAGAUACCCGGGUAGUCCCUGUCUCUUAUAC
rnacentral:rRNA from 1 species